GCUUUCUCUUCCCUUCCUUUCUCCAGCUUCAACACUGAAUCUCUCAAUUUCCCAACCAACAAACCCAAUUCCACAAGCAAUUCCCAUCAUUUUGCAUGGCUUCCAGAGCGCUGGACAUGGUGGAGCCAUGGCUCAGUCAAACUCAAACCGCAGCAAUGUGCUCACCACCAUGGCGCCUUGCCUCAACUACCUUAUGGCAAACUCAUCAACCCCUCCAACUUCUUGCUGUACUCAGCUCGGCGCUGUCGUGAAAUCUUCCCCGGAUUGCCUUUGUGCUGCUCUCAACGGCAGUGUUCCUUCACUGGGGAUCAGUAUUAACCGAACUAUCGCUGUCUCUUCCUGGUGCCUGUAAAGUCCAAACUCCUACAUUUGAUCAGUGUAAACGACAAGCGAUUGCACCUGCAGCUUCACCUGCAGAUUCUCCAACAUCGAUAAGCCCUUCUUCAGAAUCUCCAUAAACGAUUAGCCCUCCUUCAGGCUCUUCAAAUACAACUACACCACCAACCUCAGGUUCUGAGUCUAAAUCAACAACACAAAAUUCAUCUGACGGAGGCAUCAGAAGAGAGAGCGCCUAUUCGUUUUUGUUAUCUUCCUUCUCUUUGUCGCAUCUACGAUCGCCAAAUUCUGCUGAGAAUUUUUAGCCUGCUGUUGUAUUAGUGAACAAAUAACAGUUAUUCUUUUCCAGUUGGGCAGUGCUUGAUGAUGAUGUGACUAAUGAUUACAGAAGUGGGAAGAAAGAAGAGUAUUGGCUUCUC